rnacentral:lncRNA from 1 species
UCCUUGACUGGCGGGGAGGGCCGGGCAGUGAGUGCAUCCCUCCGCUCGGGCUGCAGGGAGAUGGCUCAGCGACUUCUCCUGAGGAGGUUCCUGGCCUCCGUCAUCUCCAGGAAGCCCCCUCAGGGUCGAUGGGCACCUCUCACCUGCAGGGCCCUGCCGUGCAGCCCUGGUCACCUGACAGCAACACCCACCCAAGCCCGGUCAAUAUACACCACCAGAGUCUGCACAACGACCUUCAACAUCCAGGAUGGACCUGACUUUCAAGACCGAGUUGUCAACAGCGAAACACCAGUGGUUGUGGACUUCCAUGCACAGUGGUGUGGCCCGUGCAAGAUCCUGGGGCCCAGGUUAGAGAAGGUGGUGGCCAAGCAGCAUGGGAAAGUGGUGAUGGCCAAGGUGGAUAUUGAUGACCACACAGACCUCGCCCUGGAAUAUGAGGUGUCCGCUGUGCCCACUGUGCUGGCCAUCAAGAAUGGGGACGUGGUGGACAAAUUCGUGGGUAUCAAGGACGAGGACCAGCUGGAGGCCUUCCUGAAGAAGCUGAUUGGCUGACAAGCAGGGAAGAGGCCUGGCUGCCCUUGCCCACCAGGGCCCCUGCAGUUCGAGGAGGGGCCCCGUGAGAACUCUGAGCCCUUCCGUGUUGGCCCUUCCUGCCUCCUCCCUUUUGCCCGGCCCCCAUGGGCCCGUGCUUUGGAGACCAGGCCCCCAAACAUGGGUGCCCGGCUGACCUCCAGGGUGGCUACCCGGGGAAUGGUGCUGCCACUGACCUGGGGACAGCCAUCUCCUACCCACUGUCUUGUCUGCUCCCACUAGGGCUUGUCUCUGUCCUCCCAGGAUGCUGGAAAGAGCCCCAGGCCAGCCCACAGUGCUCCGUGCCGGGUGACAGCUCGGUCCACGUCGCCCUGGUCCCUUCUGAUCUGCACCCUGGUGCCUGGCCCAUCUGUCUCCUGCAUUUUUCUUUCCUGCUGCUGUUUUGUAAAAAGAAAGAAGGAAAAAGAAACCCAAACAAGGGAGAGUAAUAUAUAAUUCUCUCAUUUUUUGUAGGUCUGUAAUAAAGAACUUUAUGUGAUCCCUUCUACCUCCUGCUCUGAAGAACAGACCCUGGGCCCCACGCUAAAUUACCCUGUAGCCACCACCCCCCAGAGCCACGUCCCUUCCUUCUUCCCAGGUGCCAGGGCAGAGAACACACGGGCAGGGGGAGGGGGGUGUCCCCAGACCCCUGUCCCUGGGAAGCCUCACUGUGAACAACCUGGACCAAUAAAGCUAGGGUUUGCACUGUUGGCGGCUUCCGUUCUGUCUGGGCUCUGGAAGCAUGAGGGGCGACCCCUCCCCAGGCUGCUGGGCUGCUGGCCCUGCGUCCUCUGGCUCUGCCACCCUCUUGCCCUCGACCAGCCGCUCCUGUUACUGAUGCUGUUGUCACGGUCGCCGCUGUCCGGGCACCACCUUCAUGUGCAAGCAGGGCAAGAGGAUGCUUGUCCCCUUUAUGCAGAUAGGGACACUGAGGCUUGUGCAGUGCAGAGCCGGGGCUUGUACCCAGGUAUGGUUGCCUCUGAAGCCUGGGCUCCUCCAGCUGAUCCCUCUGGUACCUCUGGGGCUUCCUUCUCCACCAGGCAGUAGGCACACGGCCACUCCUGUGGGAGCCAGGCCCCCUAGGGAGCUGGGCUGUGUUUCCUGUGUGUGCCCUAGGAACCCUCAGCCUCGGAGCCAGGCUCUGUCCCACUUUGUUUCCAGCUCCCCUGGGGCCCAAGGAGGAAGAUACCAGGCCUGCCAGCCAAGAGAGCCUACCCCCAUCUCCCUCGUGGGGCCGAGGUGCCAGCUUCCUAGGGACCACAGGUGUUUGACAGCAGGGGUAUCCUGGCACCCUUGCCCUCAGCCUUGGGGUGCCGUGUCUACUCCCGGGUGCGUUGCCCUCAGUCACUCUCAUGUUCCUAUUAAAAGUGCCUGUGUCGGGAUCCCUGGGUGGCGCAGUGGUUUGGCGCCUCCCUUUGGCCCAGGGCGCGAUCCUGGAGACCUGGGAUUGAAUCCCACAUCGGGCUCCCGGUGCAUGGAGCCUGCUUCUCCCUCUGCCUGUGUCUCUGCCUCUCUCUCUCUCUCUCUCUGUGUGUGACUAUCAUAAAUAAAUAUACAAAAAAUAUUUAAAAAAAAAAAAAA